CGCUGAGUUACUCCAGCACUCUUUUGUACCAUCCAUAAGAGUCAUAACAUUGGAGCUAAAACCAUCCACAAGGUCAUCGACAGAGGCCGAGGGCAGAGUUGCUGGUGGUCUAUA